GAGUAGUCACUAAGAAGAGGCGGUCGUGGAGAAAAGGCUGGAGCACAGGCCACUUCACCUCAGGAGUGGAUGUAUCAGGAAGCAUUAGUUCUAUGAUGUCCUACACUGGAAUCUACAACACUCUUCUACGCACCACAGUUUCUGGCUGAGGAGGAAGUGUGAACAGGCUGGCGUGGGCAUGUCACUCUCACUGGGCCUGGCAGAGCUGGCCAGCUGCACCGCCCAAUACAGGGGUCAGCUUGUUGCCAAGAGCAGUAGUGGCCUUGUGAGUAAGCUG
rnacentral:lncRNA from 1 species